rnacentral:rRNA from 1 species
UACGAAGGGGGGCUAGCGUUGUUCGGAGUUACUGGGGCGUAAAAGGGCGCGUAGGCGGCCCCUUUCAAAGUCGGGGCGUGAAAAGCCCCACGGCUCAACCGUGGAAUUGCGCUCGAGACUGAAGAGCUCGAGGAUGGGAGAGGAUGGUGGAAUUCCCAGUGUAGAGGUGAAAUUCGUAGAUAUUGGGAAGAACACCGGUGGCGAAGGCGGCCAUCUGGACCAUUUCUGACGCUGAGGCGCGAAAAGCGUGGGGAGCAAACAGG